rnacentral:rRNA from 1 species
GAUGAACGCUAGCGGGAGGCCUAACACAUGCAAGCCGAGCGGUAUUUGUUCUUCGGAACAGAGAGAGCGGCGCACGGGCGCGGAACACGUGUGCAACCUGCCUUUAUCUGGGGGAUAGCCUUUCGAAAGGAAGAUUAAUACCCCAUAAUAUAUUGAGUGGCAUCAUUUGAUAUUGAAAACUCCGGUGGAUAGAGAUGGGCACGCGCAAGAUUAGAUAGUUGGUGAGGUAACGGCUCACCAAGUCAAUGAUCUUUAGGGGGCCUGAGAGGGUGAUCCCCCAGAGGGGUACAGGGACAUCGACCAGCUUCCUACGGCAGGCAGCAGUGAGGGAUAUUGGACAAUGGGUUUGCGGGUUAUCAACAUUUCGCGUGUGAAGAACAACCGCCCCGUGGGUGGUAAACUUCUUUUAUAUGGGGAUAAACCACCGCGCGCGAGGGUGGCAGAAGCAGCGAUACGAAUAAACCCCGACUAACCCAACC